rnacentral:rRNA from 1 species
UACGUAGGUGGCAAGCGUUGUCCGGAUUUACUGGGCGUAAAGAGCGCGCAGGCGGUCGUUCAAGUCGCGUGUGAAAGCCCCCGGCUCAACUGGGGAGGGUCACGCGAUACUGAUCGACUCGAAGGCAGGAGAGGGUAGUGGAAUUCCCGGUGUAGUGGUGAAAUGCGUAGAUAUCGGGAGGAACACCAGUGGCGAAGGCGGCUUCCUGGACCGGUUCUGACACUGAGGAGCGAAAGCGUGGGGAGCGAUCCGG